rnacentral:rRNA from 1 species
CUACGGGGGGUGCAAGCGUUAAUCGGAAUUACUGGGCGUAAAGCGCGCGUAGGCGGUUUGCUCAGUCGGAUGUGAAAGCCCAGGGCUCAACCUUGGAACUGCAUACGAUACUGGCAAACUAGAGUGUGAGAGAGGAUAGUGGAAUUUCCGGUGUAGCGGUGAAAUGCGUAGAUAUCGGAAGGAACAUCAGUGGCGAAGGCGACUGUCUGGCUCAACACUGACGCUGAGGUGCGAAAGCGUGGGUAGCAAACAGGAUUAGAUACCCCAGUAGUCC